UACCCCACCCCCAAAUCAGAUGCACUCAAAGAAACUCUAACCUAGCGGCGCUAAAAGAAAACCCUCCCAGCCCAGGCUCCCAGCAGCGCUGAACCCAGCCCCUCCCACCAGCGCCGAACCCCUUCCUCCCAUCGUCGCUCACCAUCGUCCGCUCACUAGUGUCGAAGAAGGUGCAUGUGGCUGUGAUGAUGAUGAUGAUGAACAACAAUGGCCAAACGAGAUAGAGAAGGAAAGGGAGCUCGAGAUUGUAGCUCAUGUGUAGGUGUCAUGCUAGAACUUGCUUUUAGAAUUUCUCAGUGGGCUCAUGAAUUGAAGAGAGGGUGUUAUAUUCUUUAUUCAAUACUGGCGAGGAGGAGGGUCUCAAUGGUGCUGGAAAUUUAUUUUUAUUAUGUUGACUAUUGAAUUUUUAAACUUCUCUAAUUGUCGUGUUUUAAUUUUGUCAUUGAAUUUUAUUGGAUCAAGACUUUUGUUAGUCAUUGCGUAUUUGUCUUCUAUGAUUUUAAUGUUAUGAUUUUGUGAAAUUGUAUGACAGGUUUUUCUUUGAAUUGAUUAAAAAAAUCGAACAAAUCGAACCAAACCAAAUCGAUUUCAAUUAGUUUGGUUUGAUUCGAAUGGUUUCGAU